AUUUUAACUUAUGGCUAGUUAUUUAGAGAUUCAUCAUCGGAAGGUACCAACACAAGUUCAACAAUAUGGAAGUUUCCCUCUUCCUAUGCAUCAGCUAGCAUUUAUAAAAAAUUGAGCAUCUGAACCUUGUAAGGUUACCUGGAUACACAGAGCAUGGAGAGGAGAAGACUGUUGUUGUCGAAUAUGUUAGUAAUGGAAAAUUUAGAGAACAUGUAUAU